rnacentral:rRNA from 1 species
UACGUAGGCAGCAAGCGUUGUUCGGAAUUACUGGGCGUAAAGAGUGUGUAGGCGGUGCUCUAAGUCUGUUGUGAAAUCUCCCGGCUUAACUGGGAGGGUGCGGCGGAAACUGGAGUGCUCGAGGGUGGGAGAGGUAAGCGGAAUUCCUGGUGUAGCGGUGAAAUGCGUAGAUAUCAGGAGGAACACCGAUGGCGAAGGCAAUCCCCUGGACCUGUACUGACGCUCAUGCACGAAAGCGUGGGGAGCAAACAGG